rnacentral:rRNA from 1 species
GAUGAACGCUGGCGGCGUGCCUAAUACAUGCAAGUCGAGCGAACGGACGAGAAGCUUGCUUCUCUGAUGUUAGCGGCGGACGGGUGAGUAACACGUGGAUAACCUACCUAUAAGACUGGGAUAACUUCGGGAAACCGUAGCUAAUACCGGAUAAUAUUUUGAACCGCAUGGUUCAAAAGUGAAAGACGGUCUUGCUGUCACUUAUAGAUGGAUCCGCGCUGCAUUAGCUAGUUGGUAAGGUAACGGCUUACCAAGGCAACGAUGCAUAGCCGACCUGAGAGGGUGAUCGGCCACACUGGAACUGAGACACGGUCCAGACUCCUACGGGAGGCAGCAGUAGGGAAUCUUCCGCAAUGGGCGAAAGCCUGACGGAGCAACGCCGCGUGAGUGACGAAGGUCUUCGGAUCGUAAAACUCUGUUAUUAGGGAAGAGCAUAUGUGUAAGUAACUGUGCACAUCUUGACGGUACCUAAUCAGAAAGCCACGGCUAACUACGUG